GGAUGCGAUCAUACCAUCACUAAAGCACCGGAUCCCAUUAGAACUCCGAAGUUAAGCGUUCUUGGGCUGAUUAGUACUAGGAUGGGUGACCUCCUGGGAAGUCCUCGCGUUGCAUUCC
rnacentral:rRNA from 1 species